rnacentral:rRNA from 1 species
AGUAUAUGCUUGUCUCAAAGACUAAGCCAUGCAUGUGAUCAGUGCAGUCCUUGUACGACGAAACUGCGAAUGGCUCAUUAAAACAGUUAUCGUUUAUUUGGUAAUCAUCUACUACAAGGAUAACUGUAGUAAUUCUAGAGCUAAUACUUGCGUCUUCCCGACUUUUCGGAAGGGAUUGCAUUUAUUAGAUACAAACCAAUCGGUGGUUUACCACUGUUACAUGGUGAUUCAUAAUAACUAAGCGAAUCGCAUGGGCUCGCCCGGCGAUAGACCUUUCAAGUUUCUGAUCUAUCAGCUAUUGACGGUAGGGUAUUGGCCUACCGUGGCGAUGACGGAUAAAGGGGGAUUAGGGUUCGACUCCUGAGAGGGAGCCUGAGAAACGGCUACCACAUCUAAGGAUGGCAGCAGGCGCGCAAAUUACCCAAUCCUGACACAGGGAGGUAGUGACAAGAAAUAACAAUACAGGGCUUCACAGUCUUGUAAUUGGAAUGAGUAGAUUCUAAAUCUCUCUACGAGUAACAAU